rnacentral:rRNA from 1 species
CAAGGUUGAACACAGGCUGAGUCUCUAUGCCUUGAGUGGAGCACCGGAUUGGAUACCCGGGCAACCGGCGCUUCCAUAUCGAAGAA